rnacentral:rRNA from 1 species
AUGGCGGAUGAAGGUACAGGAUCGCGGGGGAAGAGGGACAAGGAGAGCGUGGAAGAUCUCUUGGCCCGGCUGAACUUGCAGGAGGCAGAAGAUGAUGAAUUUGUAUGGGAAGAGGAAUUGCCAGAUCAGAUGGAACCGGCCAAGUGGUUGGCUAUAGCCAGGGUUCAUACUCUUAAAACUUUCAGCCCAAGUGCGUUGUAUGGAGACAUGUACUCGGCAUGGAACCCAGCAAGACCAGUGGUUUGGAGAAGGAUCAAUGAAAACCUCUUUACAGCACAAUUUGGAUGUUUAGCAGAUUGGAACAAGGCAAUGCUCAAGGGGCCAUGGCUUUUUAGAGGUCAUGCUGUGAUUCUGAAGGAAUACGACGGCUUUAAAAAGCCGGAAUCCAUCCAGUUAGACAGAAUUGCAGUCUGGGCGCAGAUUCAUCGACUCCCGAACAACUUCCUGAUAGAAGCAGCUGUACGGGGGAUGGCUUCACGCAUUGGUAAAGUCGAGGAGGUCCAGCUAAGGCUGCCUGCUGGUUUCUUCGGCGAGUUUGUAAGAGUUAAAAUCGGUAUUGACGCCAACGCCAAGAUAAAACGUUUUGUCACAGCAAAGAAGGGAGAUGAAAGAGUAAGGUAUCAGGUGAAAUACGAAAAGCUCCCUACGUUAUGUUUCCACUGUGGGGAGUUUGGACACUGGUAUGAGGAAUGCGGUGAUGGGGAGCACGAUGAGUCCACUUUUGAGUGGGGAGACUUUGUGCUAGCUGAUGCAGCCAGGGCAGGACAUUCAGGUCGUGGGAUAGCUGGAUCUCAGAGAGGACGGGCGACAACAGGAGGUCCGAGAGGACGAGGAAGGGGAAGAAGCACUUAUAACCCUAACCAGAGUUAG